rnacentral:rRNA from 1 species
UACGUAGGGUGCAAGCGUUUGUCCGGAAUUAUUGGGCGUAAAGAGCUCGUAGGCGGCUUGUUGCGUCGACUGUGAAAACCCGCGGCUCAACCGUGUGGCUUGCAGUCGAUACGGGCAGGCUAGAGUUCGGUAGGGGAGACUGGAAUUCCUGGUGUAGCGGUGAAAUGCGCAGAUAUCAGGAGGAACACCGGUGGCGAAGGCGGGUCUCUGGGCCGAUACUGACGCUGAGGAGCGAAAGCGCGGGGAGCGAACAGG